GACGAACCGAGCGAAGGUUGUUCGGAAUCACUGGGCUUAAAAGGCGCGUAGGCGGGCUGUCAAGUCUGGGGUGAAAUCCCACGGCUCAACCGUGGAACUGCCUCAGAUACUGACGGUCUCGAGGGAGGUAGGGGCGAGCGGAACUGAUGGUGGAGCGGUGAAAUGCGUUGAUAUCAUCAGGAACUCCGGUGGCGAAGGCGGCUCGCUGGACCUUUUCUGACGCUGAGGCGCGAAAGCUAGGGGAGCAAACGGG
rnacentral:rRNA from 1 species